UGUGGUUAAUUCGAUGCAACGCGAAAACCUUACCACCUUGACAUGUACGGAAUCCUUUAGAGAUAGAGGAGUGCUCGAAAGAGAGCCGUAACACAGGUGCUGCAUGGCUGUCGUCAGCUCGUGUCGUGAGAUGUUGGGUUAAGUCCCGCAACGAGCGCAACCCUUGUCAUUAGUUGCUACAUUCAGUUGGGGCACUCUAAUGAGACUGCCGGUGACAAACCGGAGGAAGGUGGGGAUGACGUCAAGUCCUCAUGGCCCUUAUAGGUGGGGCUACACACGUCAUACAAUGGAUGGUACAAAGGGUCGCCAACCCGCGAGGGGGAGCCAAUCCCAUAAAGCCAUUCGUAGUCCGGAUCGCAGUCUGCAACUCGACUGCGUGAAGUCGGAAUCGCUAGUAAUCGUGGAUCAGAAUGUCACGGUGAAUACGUUCCCGGGUCUU
rnacentral:rRNA from 1 species